UGGUGUUAUAGUCAUAUAUAAUAAAAAUACUUUUUCGCAGUGUCGGACUGUAGCGAAGGCGAGAAAACACCGAAAGGAACAAAGGCAAACGGGAGGUGGGGGUGCAGUUCCGGGACUGACUGCUGUUCAAGAAAAGGUACUCUCUUGUGUCCCGGACAUUAUCCUUAAUGGACUAGAGGGGAAUGACACUGGUCCAAUUGAAACUUCUGAAAAUGAAAGAAACAGUGCAACCGUGUCAUCACCAGUGCAAGAUGAAGG